AUGGUAUUCGGUGGGUUGUUCCAUGGUAUUCGGUGGGUUGUUCCAUGGUUUUUGGUGCGGUUGUUCCAUGGUUUUUGGCGGGGUUGUUCCAUGGUUUUUGGUGCGGCUGUUGGAUGGUUUUCGGCGGGGUUCUUGGAUGGUUUUUGGUGUGGUUGUUCCAUGGUUGUUGGUGCUGUUGUUCCAUGGUUUUUGUUGGCGUUUGAUGAUGGUUUUUGCCGGGGUUGUUCCAUGGUUUAUUGGUGUGGUUCUUCCAUGGUUAUUGGUGCGGUUGUUCCAUGGUUUUGGGCGGGGUUGUUCCAUGGUUUUUUUUGUGGUUCUUCCAUGGUUAUUGGGGCGGUUGUUCCAUGGUUUAUUGGUGAGGUUCUUCUAUGGUUUUUGCCGGGGUUGUUCCAUGGUUUUUGGUGGGGCUGUUCCAUGGUUAUUGGUGGGUUGUUCCAUGGUUAUUGGCGGGGCUGUUCCAUGGUUUUUGGUGGGCUGUUCCAUGGUUUUUGGCGGGGUUGUUCCAUGGUUAUUGGGGCGGUUGUUCCAUGGUUUAUUGGUGAGGUUCUUCUAUGGUUUUUGCCGGGGUUGUUCCAUGGUUUUUGGUGGGGCUGUUCCAUGGUUAUUGGUGGGUUGUUCCAUGGUUAUUGGCGGGGCUGUUCCAUGGUUUUUGGUGGGCUGUUCCAUGGUUUUUGGCGGGGUUGUUCCAUGGUUAUUGGGGCGGUUGUUCCAUGGUUUAUUGGUGAGGUUCUUCUAUGGUUUUUGCCGGGGUUGUUCCAUGGUUUUUGGUGGGGCUGUUCCAUGGUUAUUGGUGGGUUGUUCCAUGGUUAUUGGCGGGGCUGUUCCAUGGUUUUUGGUGGGCUGUUCCAUGGUUUUUGGCGGGGUUGUUCCAUGGUUAUUGGGGCGGUUGUUCCAUGGUUUAUUGGUGAGGUUCUUCUAUGGUUUUUGCCGGGGUUGUUCCAUGGUUUUUGGUGGGGCUGUUCCAUGGUUAUUGGUGGGUUGUUCCAUGGUUAUUGGCGGGGCUGUUCCAUGGUUUUUGGUGGGCUGUUCCAUGGUUUUUGGCGGGGUUGUUCCAUGGUUAUUGGGGCGGUUGUUCCAUGGUUUAUUGGUGAGGUUCUUCUAUGGUUUUUGCCGGGGUUGUUCCAUGGUUUUUGGUGGGGCUGUUCCAUGGUUAUUGGUGGGCUGUUCCAUGGUUUUUGGCGGGGUUGUUCCAUGGUUAUUGGGGCGGUUGUUCCAUGGUUUAUUGGUGAGGUUCUUCUAUGGUUUUUGCCGGGGUUGUUCCAUGGUUUUUGGUGGGGCUGUUCCAUGGUUUUUAGCGGGGCUGUUCCAUGGUUAUUGGUGCGGUUGUUCCAUGGUUUUUGGUGGGCUGUUCCAUGGUUAUUGGUGGGCUGUUCCAUGGUUAUUGGUGGGUUGUUCCAUGGUUAUUGGUGGGGCUGUUCCAUGGUUUUUGGUGGGGCUGUUCCAUGGUUUUUAGCGGGGCUGUUCCAUGGUUUUUGA
rnacentral:lncRNA from 1 species